rnacentral:rRNA from 1 species
AAACGACUCUCGGCAACGGAUAUCUCGGCUCUCGCAUCGAUGAAGAACGUAGCAAAAUGCGAUACUUGGUGUGAAUUGCAGAAUCCCGUGAACCAUCGAGUUUUUGAACGCAAGUUGCGCCMUAAGCCGUCAGGCAGAGGGCACGCUUGCCUGG